GGAGCUUAUAAUUUAGUAGACACAUAAGCCACAAACAGAAGCCAGCUCUGUGUCAGGCCCCAUGAGAAGUCCGCAGGUGCGAUCUUCAAUUUGGAGACUACAGGAAGGAUGGCUGGGGAGGCCUCAGGAAACUUACAGUCACAGCGGAAGGCAAAGAGGAAGCAGGCAGCGGCUUCGUGGCAGGAGCAGGAGGAAGGCGGUGGGGAGGUGCUACAUACUUUUAAACAACUGGAUCUUGUGAGAACUCACUAUCACGAGAACAGCAAGGGGGAAUUCUGCGCCCUGAUCCAGUCACCUCCCACCAGGCUCCUCCUCCAACAGUGGGGAUUACAAUUCGACAUGAGAUUUGAGUGGGGACACAGAUCCAAACCAUAUCAGUGUCAUUAAAAAAAUAGUUGCCCUGCUAACUUUUUUAAUCCCCUGUAACUCUAAAUAAAAUAAUGAUGUGAACAUAACA
rnacentral:lncRNA from 1 species